UAGAGCACUGUUUCGGCUAGGGGGCCAUCCCGGCUUACCAACCCGAUGCAAACUGCGAAUACCGGAGAAUGUUAUCACGGGAGACACACGGCGGGUGCUAACGUCCGUCGUGAAGAGGGAAACAACCCAGACCGCCAGCUAAGGUCCCAAAGUCAUGGUUAAGUGGGAAACGAUGUGGGAAGGCCCAGACAGCCAGGAUGUUGGCUUAGAAGCAGCCAUCAUUUAAAGAAAGCGUAAUAGCUCACUGGUCGAGUCGGCCUGCGCGGAAGAUGUAACGGGGCUAAACCAUGCACCGAAGCUGCGGCAGCGACGCUGAUGCGUUGUUGGGUAGGGGAGCGUUCUGUAAGCCUGCGAAGGUGGCCUGUGAGGGUUGCUGGAGGUAUCAGAAGUGCGAAUGCUGACAUAAGUAACGAUAAAGCGGGUGAAAAGCCCGCUCGCCGGAAGACCAAGGGUUCCUGUCCAACGUUAAUCGGGGCAGGGUGAGUCGACCCCUAAGGCGAGGCCGAAAGGCGUAGUCGAUGGGAAACGGGUUAAUAUUCCCGUACUUGGUGUUACUGCGAAGGGGGGACGGAGAAGGCUAUGUUGGCCGGGCGACGGUUGUCCCGGUUUAAGCGUGUAGGUGUGUGUUCCAGGUAAAUCCGGUUCACUUUAACACUGAGGCGUGACGACGAGGCACUACGGUGCUGAAGCAACAAAUGCCCUGCUUCCAGGAAAAGCCUCUAAGCAUCAGGUAACAUCAAAUCGUACCCCAAACCGACACAGGUGGUCAGGUAGAGAAUACCAAGGCGCUUGAGAGAACUCGGGUGAAGGAACUAGGCAAAAUGGUGCCGUAACUUCGGGAGAAGGCACGCUGACACGUAGGUGAAGUGAUUUACUCAUGGAGCUGAAGUCAGUCGAAGAUACCAGCUGGCUGCAACUGUUUAUUAAAAACACAGCACUGUGCAAACACGAAAGUGGACGUAUACGGUGUGACGCCUGCCCGGUGCCGGAAGGUUAAUUGAUGGGGUCAGCGCAAGCGAAGCUCCUGAUCGAAGCCCCGGUAAACGGCGGCCGUAACUAUAACGGUCCUAAGGUAGCGAAAUUCCUUGUCGGGUAAGUUCCGACCUGCACGAAUGGCGUAAUGAUGGCCAGGCUGUCUCCACCCGAGACUCAGUGAAAUUGAACUCGCUGUGAAGAUGCAGUGUACCCGCGGCAAGACGGAAAGACCCCGUGAACCUUUACUAUAGCUUGACACUGAACAUUGAGCCUUGAUGUGUAG
rnacentral:rRNA from 1 species